rnacentral:sRNA from 1 species
GCCGCCAUUUUGUGGGGUGUUUGUCGCAGCGGCCGAGGAGGGAAGACGGCAGUUUGGCGACAUUUCUCGGCCGAAGGGCCAUUUGCUUUUGCGGAGAUGCGGCAUUCCAAAAGAACUCACUGUCCUGAUUGGGAUAGCAGAGAAAGCUGGGGACAUGAAAGCUACCGUGGAAGUCACAAGCGGAAGAGGAGAUCUCAUAGUAGCACACAAGAGAACAGGCAUUGUAAACCACAUCACCAGUUUAAAGAAUCUGAUUGUGCUCCAUGUGCAUCCCUCUUGAAGCUUCGCACUCUGUUGAAGAGGACACUCAUCCCAGUCAUUAUUUAGAAGCAAGGUCCUUGAAUGAGCGAGAUUAUCGGGACCGGAGAUACGUUGACGAGUACAGGAAUGACUACUGUGAAGGAUAUGUUCCUAGACAUUAUCACAGAGACAUUGAAAACGGUUAUCGAAUCCACUGCAGUAAAUCUUCAGUCCGCAGCAGGAGAAGCAGUCCUAAAAGGAAGCGCAAUAGACACUGUUCAAGUCAUCAGUCACGUUCGGUAUGAUUGGUUUUGUUUUUAAUUUGAGUGGAGUUUUAUUUGUGUGUACUCUUAAUGAGCUGAUAAGUUUCUAAUUUUUUAUAUAUGUAUAUAAAAUACUAUUUGGAUAUAUUAUAAUUGUAUUUAUAUUACUUAAAUCCUUAAAGGAAAUCUCCAAAUUCUUGUAGCUGAUCUGUAUAUUUAUUAGCUAGCCCUCAUUUGCCCACAUUUCCUCAUAUUCUGCAGACCAGAUAAUGAGUUUAUUGAUUUUAAUAAUAAGAAUAUUUUUGUAUUUGUAACAUAUUCUUAUGAAAAAAUCACGCACCCAUAUCUUUUCUUUCAUCUUAAGCAUUUUUUUUUCUUAGAAAGCCUUUAUCUGGUACUUGAAAAUAAAUGUGAAACAUUGCACUGGUGGAUACCUAAAUGUUGCUAACCUGCAUAGAUUAUAGUUCCAUAGUACAGUGCAUCGUUGUCUGCAAUGCAUUCUUUUGAAGUUAUGAAAAUGGGUGCUGAAUGGGAAACAUCCAAAAAGUCUGCCCCCCCCACCUUUUUUUUUAACACUCGGACAUCUUCACCUGCUUGAACAGAGAACUUUGAAUUAGUUUCUCCCCAAGUUUUCUUCAGUAAAACUAGUUUUUAUUAGAUUGAACAUUGAAAUUAAAUAGCCUUUAUUUUCCCCUUUUAUUUUAAUCGUGUAUAUUUUAAAAUAUUGCUAAAUUAGAAUAAUUUCAAAUAGUCUUGACAUUUUAAAACAUUUUUCUGACAAACUAGACAUCUCAAUUCACAGCAUAUCCUAUUUAUAGCAAGAGAUAAGUAAAUCAUGACAUUGCAUUCUUUAAAUUUCAGACUUCAAUUAAAUCAGUAUUUUAAAGAGACAAUUGUGUUGUUUUUUUCUAUUGCAACUUUAAGUAUCUUAUCUGAAAAUCUGUUCCUUGCCAUGUUUUUCUUCUGUAACAUAAACUGUGCCCUGUGAAUUUCUGGGGACUGAAUUUGAAAUUGCUCCUGCCAACUGUUCGUGGCCUGGUGCUUAUCUGAAUGCCUGAAUAUCUCCCCGCUGAAUGAAUUGCGUAUUCUGCCCUGAAUUCACUCUGAUAUAUUGAUUGGCUGGACGAUCUUGGUGCUGCCCACUUGCCGUUCCAGAAGAGCCACCGAAGGAAAAGAUCCAGGAGUAUAGAGGAUGAUGAGGAGGGUCACCUGAUCUGUCAAAGUGGAGACGUUCUAAGAGCAAGAUGUAUAGAAUAUUUUUCAACACUUUUUAAACUUUGCAGAAAGAAUAAUCUUUUUAAGAAUAGUUUGUCAGCGGGGGGCUAAAGAACUCUUCAUUGCUUUUUUAUUUUGUUUUUUGUGGGUUUGUUUGUUCUUUUGUAUUUCUUCUUUUCUGUAGAAUUUAAAUAUUUCUAUUCUAAAGUUCCAAAAUAAUAGUGGAAUUUGAGAUUAGAGCAAGAAAGAUAGCUCUAUCUAAUUGUUUUUGUAGCAGCUGAAACUAAAAUAAUUUGAGUGCUGAAACCUUAGUUAUGCUUUGAUAGAGAUCAUUUGAAAAUAUUCCACACUUAAGCAUUCAUUGUUUGAAUUACUAGACAAUUUGUACUCAGGUACUUACACCUCUUUUUCCCUCCUCACUUUAGAUGAAAUCGUGGACACUUUGGGUGAAGGAGCCUUUGGCAAAGUUGUAGAGUGCAUUGAUCAUGGCAUGGAUGGCAUGCAUGUAGCAGUGAAAAUCGUAAAAAAUGUAGGCCGUUACCGUGAAGCAGCUCGUUCAGAAAUCCAAGUAUUAGAGCACUUAAAUAGUACUGAUCCCAAUAGUGUCUUCCGAUGUGUCCAGAUGCUAGAAUGGUUUGAUCAUCAUGGUCAUGUCUGUAUUGUGUUUGAACUGCUGGGACUUAGUACUUAUGAUUUCAUUAAAGAAAACAGCUUUCUGCCAUUUCAAAUUGACCACAUCAGGCAGAUGGCGUAUCAGAUCUGCCAGUCAAUAAAUUUUUUACAUCAUAAUAAAUUAACCCAUACAGAUCUGAAGCCUGAAAAUAUUUUAUUUGUGAAGUCUGACUAUGUAGUCAAAUAUAAUUCUAAAAUGAAACGUGAUGAACGCACACUGAAAAACACAGAUAUCAAAGUUGUUGACUUUGGAAGUGCAACGUAUGAUGAUGAACAUCACAGUACUUUGGUGUCUACCCGGCACUACAGAGCUCCCGAGGUCAUUUUGGCUUUAGGUUGGUCUCAGCCUUGUGAUGUUUGGAGCAUAGGUUGCAUUCUUAUUGAAUAUUACCUUGGUUUCACAGUCUUUCAGACUCAUGAUAGUAAAGAGCACCUGGCAAUGAUGGAACGAAUAUUAGGACCUAUACCACAACACAUGAUUCAGAAAACAAGAAAACGCAAGUAUUUUCACCAUAACCAGCUAGAUUGGGAUGAACACAGUUCUGCUGGUAGAUAUGUUAGGAGACGCUGCAAACCAUUAAAGGAAUUUAUGCUUUGUCAUGAUGAAGAACAUGAGAAACUGUUUGACCUGGUUCGAAGAAUGUUAGAAUAUGAUCCAACUCAAAGAAUUACCUUGGAUGAAGCAUUGCAGCAUCCUUUCUUUGACUUAUUAAAAAAGAAAUGAAAUGGGAAUCAGUGGUCUUACUAUAUACUUCUCUAGAAGAGAUUACUUAAGACUGUGUCAGUCAACUAAACAUUCUAAUAUUUUUGUAAACAUUAAAUUAUUUUGUACAGUUAAGUGUAAAUACUGUAUGUUUUGUAUCAAUAGCAUAAUUAACUUGUUAAGCAAGUAUGGUCUUGAUAAUGCAGUAGAAAAAUUAAAAUUAAUUUUUCUUUUUGAAAUUACCAUUUUUAAAUACCUUUGAAAUAUCCUUUGUGUCCAGUGACAAAUGUGAUUGAUCUUGCCUUUUGUACAUGGAGGUCACCUCUGAAGUGAUUUUUUUUGAGUAAAAGGAAAUCUUGACUACUU